GGGCGGGGAGAGCGGCGCCGCCGCGCUUCGGGAAUACCGACAGCACGUAACACCCGCCCGCCCCCGAGACGAGAGAACGCGAGCGGCGCCGUCCGAUUGGACAGCAGCAAGGAGGAGGGCUGAGCACUGCGAGGCAGUGAUUGGUUGCUCCGGCACGGGGCGGGGAGGAGAGCGCGAGGAUUGGAGGAGAGGGCUGUCGGUUUGGACAAGCCCCGCCCCCGGCUGAGGGGGUGGGCGGGAAGCGCGGUCCUCGGUGUCCCCUCAGCGGGAGCUGGGGCGCUCGGCUCCCCGCCCUACAGGAUGUCUUGGAGCCCCUCUGCAGGCUGAGCAGCCCCCAGCUGGCACGGGAGCUGAGGGGAUGGCAGGGGGCUGCGGUUGGGGUGUCCCUGCCGGGGCCGAGGUGAUGGCAGAGUCAUCUAACGUGACACAUACGGCGCUCCUAGGAGUGGGUCCAGCGGAGGGCAACAAGGAUGACUGGGGAAUUGGAGCAUCUCUGCUAUGAGGAAAGGCUGAGGAAGGUGGUCCUGCUUAGCCUCGAGAAGAGAUAACUGAGAGGGGACCUCAUUAAUGUGUUUAAAUACUUAAAAUGGAGUGCCAAGAGGGUGAAGCUAGGCUCAGGUCAGUGGUGCCAACCACAAGGACAACAGGCAAUAGGCAGAAAGCAAUGCCCAGGAAGUUUUACCUUAAUAUAAGGAAGAACUUCUUUCCUGUGCAAUGAUUGCUCACUGGCCCAGAGAGGUUGUGGAGUCUCUCUCACUGGAGAUACUCCAGAACUGUCUGGACACAAUCCUGUGCCAUGUGCUCUGGGAUGACCCUACUUCAGCAGGAAAAUGGGGCAAGAUGACCCACCAUGGACCCUUUCAACCUGACCCAUUCUUUGGUUUGGUGACAGAUGUCAUCUCUGCAUCCUCCUGACAGCCAGGAACCCUUCCCCUGGCUUGUCGCAGUGCCCAAGCAGCUCCAGGUGACAUCCCUCUCAUCAGCAUGUCCCAUGGCUGCAGGCAUAUGGCUCCUCAGGCCGCUCAGCGGUGUGGCCAUCCUGUCCCCUCGGGAUACCACAGAGUGGCUGUGGGUCAGGCCAGCAGUGCCUGGCUGGGAGCAGGAGGGAGCCCUGGGGAGCAGCACGAGGCAGAGCCCAGAGCUGGAAUCUCACCCUCCACAUGUGAGAUGUGGCAACCAGUGGGGCACAUCCCUUCAUCAGAAUGGCUCCCUGUUAUUAUGUGCUGCUGCCGCGUCCAGCGCUGCGGCUGGGAUCCCUGGUUAGUCUGGAUUCCAUUGUUUAAGGGCAAGCAGAACAAAAUGUCUCUCCUUGUCCUGAAGGAGGCUGCAAUCAUCAACGUGAUUUGCCUAGAUUUAAAGUUUAGGCGUUUGCCCAAGAGCCUCUGUGGCUGAGAAGUUGAGGCUUAUAUGGGAGGAACUGUUCCCAAGGCUGAUAUGCAAAGCUUGGAUGAAAGCCUGGGAGUCCUUGCUCUCUGCCAGGCUUUGAUGCCCAGACUCCUUGCCUGUAAUCUGCCAUCUAUGCAGACAAUAUCAGAGCUAUCAAAUAAUUCCACCACAAUGUGAGCCUUGGGAAGAAAAAAAAAAAAAAAAAAAAAGAGUCUGCUAGGAAAAGUACACAGAAAUGUCCUUGGAUAAAACUGAAAAAUUGGAUCAAGCCAAAUGCAUUGUUAUGAUUUUUGCUUACCAGGUUAAGCUUACACAGACUUUGGACUGGGAAAACAUUUUGUAUUGGUACAGUGAAACCAUCACAGGACAUACCAGGAGUCACCAGGAAACAGCACGGUUUAUAGGCUGCUCUUACAGCUUAUUAGGAAAGAGCCCGCUAAAUAUUUGAUAUUUACAAGCUAUGAUGCUGAAAUACCAAAGGCAUUUGAAGAAUCCAGCCCAGUUCUCACACCUCUCAUGCCCCAGCACAUGGCUGACAGACAUGUGGAUGCUCUGCUUCCAUCUCUAGGUAAAGGACAAACGAUCCCUGUGUGUGUGUGGGAGGAGACUCUGUUAUCUGCUGUGAUUCACUCUGGUGCAAUCCAUUGGCCAUGGUGGGGUGUGACCAAGGUGCUUUGAUACACAUGGAUUCUGCUCAUCCCAGACUCACAUCCUAUGGAUUUCUCUAUGGCCGUGGCCACCUCACCUCUGCUCCAUGAGCCUCAGCCACAUCCCUGCCCUGUGCUCUUCCUGACCUAAGCCUUUCCUGAGGCCGCUCCCCAGUGCCGCCACCACUUCCUCAACUUUUGCUGGCUCAGGGCACUGUCUUAUCAGUCUGGGAUAUUUUUAUCAGUCUGUGCUCUGCAGUUACGUCUGGGCCUCACCUCUGCUCUCCUGGAGAGGUGUGCCUGGCUGGCCAGGGCUAUGGCAGCUGUGCUCUGAGAGUUAGCACCAACAGAGAUGCCUCGUCUUGCCUCCUCUCUGCUUUGAGGACAGAGAUAAAGCAGCAGUGGAGAAACAAGGUGAGAUAAAUGCAGGAGGGACAAAACUCAGUGAGGUGAAGUGAGGUAGAUCCUAUAAUGCAUUUGGUGAGCCUUCAAAUCCUAUGUCUUAUCCCAGGGGAAUCCCAGAUGCACAAGCCCUGCAAACUACAUCAUCAGCAUCUUCCUCUGGAAAGCAUCAUCACACUAAUUCAUUUGUCAUGGCAGCCAAAUGAUUAAAGUUUUAAAACUAAAUUACACACGUUGCUGUAACAGCAUAAACACAGUAAUGGUUCUCCUCUGUUACACCUGUCGCCUCUGCUGUAAUGGCCUUAAUGAGCUUUCAGCCUCAUCAUCCAAAAAAAAGAGAUUAUCACACGUCACUUUAUGCUGUUACUGCGUUCUUGGAGCUGUGAGUGGGAUGUAAUGCCCUGCACCAAGGAGCUGUGCGUGAGUGCCUUCCCCAGAACCAGGGGCAGGUCCAGGCUAGGGAGCUCCCAAAAUGGGGCAGGGGGUGCAGACACCACAGCAGUGCCAGCUGUAGCAUGCAGGCAGCUGGAAACCCUGUGAGGGGAAUGGGUACCUAUCCCCAUUGCAUAGGAUUAUUCCAUGGUGUGGAGUUAUUCCAAGCUUGCGUCUUCUCAGCUUAAUAACAGGCUGUGAGGUGCACUUUGACCUGCUUGUGUUUUUCACUUGUUCCAUAUUUAACUGAACUCAUCAUCAUAAAGGCCAGGAACUGUUUCACUUUCUGUGCCAGGCUGGGUUUCCUGUUGGAUGUGCAAAGGACACACCUGCACGGUGAGUUUCUGGCCUGCCAGCACUGGGAAUUCUGUUAUUGAAAAAAGGGAGCCCAGGAAUCUGGAGUUGGUGGAUUCCUUUCCCAGAAAAUGUGGCUAGACCUGAAAAUCCAGCUGCCUGGCUUUUUUUGUUUACUGGUUUCCAUGUUUGCUUCAGUGUGCCCUGGGAAUGUGCAGCAGAACUCUCCGCUUCAUUCUGUGAGGUCUCUGGGUGGAACUGGAUCUUGUUUGCCCCUUCCAGAAUCUGCAGACUUGGAAUCUGCUUUGCCUCAGGGCUUGUUGUGUUUAUCAAGCUUUAUCCUGUGUCUGUAUCCCAACUUCCAUCCCUUCAGUGUUGUGCUGGACAAGAGAAUUGCUGGUUGUGGCACUGACUGUCCCACUGACUGCAACCCCACAAAUGCUGCUGUUACCCCAAAUACAUCAGAAGCAACCGUAAGUCUGUGGUUCCUCCUUGACACAGCAACCUCUAAUUGGGGAUCCCAGGUGACAGAGGUGAAAGAAACUGUCCCUGCUGGCACUGGGAUUCUGCCUCGGGUUAAUCACACACUGCACAUCUGGCACUCAUUUGCAGGUGAUACCCACUUCAUUCCCCCACUCAAAACAUGGGCUGGAAGCUGUGCUCCUCAGUCUCAGGAAGCUUCUUAUCAGGUGCUUUCAAGCAAGACAUAGAAUCUUAAAUGCUUCAGUUUUCACACUGACCUGACCACCCUUCUGCUGACAAUACUUGCUGGCAACAAUCUCUCACAUGACAACAGGAAAAAAACCCACAAAAGAUCCCCAGAAGGAUGCUUUGCCAAAACAGGCUUGACAAACUUUAAAUUUGUGCUGGAGGAAGUAGAGGUUAUUUGGGCGAGUGUGCAGGGCAUAUCAGUCUGUCCCUUGGAGGGGAUCUGCUCCCAGAACUGCGAUGCAGUGAUGGCAGUGCACUGUACUUGUGGGAAACUGACAUAUGUAAAAAAAAAAACCAA